CGCUAGCGGGAGGCUUACACAUGCAAGUCGAGGGGUAAGGUCUCUUCGGAGAAUACACGACCGGCGCACGGGUGAGUAACGCGUAUGCAACCUACCUAUAACACAAGGAUAGCUCCCGGAAACGGGAAUUAAUACUUGAUGACAUUCAAAGAUGGCAUCAUCAAUGAAUCAAAGUUCCGGCGGUUAUAGAUGGGCAUGCGUGACAUUAGCUAGUUGGUGAGGUAGAGGCUCACCAAUGCGACGAUGUCUAGGGGGUCUGAGAGGAUGAUCCCCCACACUGGUACUGAGACACGGACCAGACUCCUACGGGAGGCAGCAGUGAGGAAUAUUGCGCAAUGGAGGAAACUCUGACGCAGCCAUCCCGCGUGCAGGAUUGACGGCCCUAUGGGUUGUAAACUGCUUUUCUAUACCAAGAAACACCGAUACGUGUAUCGGUUCGCCGGUAGUAUAGGAAUAAGCAUCGGCUAACUCCGUGCCAGCAGCCGCGGUAAUACGGAGGAUGCAAGCGUUAUCCGGAAUCACUGGGUCUAAAGGGUGCGCAGGCGGAAUAGUAAGUCAGAGGUGAAAGCCCACAGCUCAACUGUGGAAUUGCCUUUGAUACUGUUAUUCUUGAGUGUAGUUGAAGUAGGCGGAAUAUAGCAUGUAGCGGUGAAAUGCAUAGAUAUGCUAUAGAACACCAAUUGCGAAGGCAGCUUGCUAAACUAUAACUGACGCUGAGGCACGAAAGCGUGGGGAGCGAACAGGAUUAGAUACCCUGGUAGUCCACGCCGUAAACUAUGAACACUCGCUGUUGGCAAUACACAGUCAGC
rnacentral:rRNA from 1 species